GUAGCCUCUCCUCUGUUGCUUAGAUUGUUAGUUGGCAGAUGCAUGUUUAUAAUAAUUACUUUUAAAUCUCCUUAAAAAAAACUCUGUUGGAACUUAAGGAUCAGUCAAAUAAUCAAUAUGCCUAGUUUGGUUGGAAUAGUAUGCGAAAGUCAUACACUUUUAAAUUUCUGCUAUUUCAAUAAAAUUGCAGUUGAUGUGUUCCGUCACUUGUCUGCCAAAUGACCAUUUUAAUUUGCUUGAAUUUGCUCUGAUUUUCAGGUGGUCUCUGAGGUAACAUAACUACUGUUCGGAUUUGCAGGUGCUCCCCAAAGUAGUGUUGCUACUACUGGGAUUUGCAGGUCCUCCUUGAGCCAGUGGCUACAUGUGAAAGUGAUUCAGCACGUUGGUUGGAAAUACAGGACUGCACAAAGAGUGUGGGAGCCAAACCAUUUGCUGCCCACUGCUGAGAACAGGGAACCCACAGUCAGCAGGACUGAUGUAAAAGACUUAGAGAGCUACAGGCAGAAAUUUACAUCUCUAUCCUCUUGUGAACAGCGUCCAACAGCCACCUAUGCCAUGGAAGGAGUCGGACAUACAGAGUAGAGGAGAGGACCAUCGGCCUAAAGAAUGCUAACAUCCACAUUGGAUUGAGGCUCUCAGACAUUAAUUAACCAUGGGGAUGAUUCUUCACAGACAUGCCCACAGACCAAUCUGAUACAGAUUGUUCAAUGGAGAAUCUUUUCAGGUGACUUCCAGUUUGAGUUUUGUUGAUAGAUAAUAUUGACUUGGACAUGGUAAAGCAAUAUUAUUGUGUACAUAUGAAUGCUGCUGGAGGAUAUUUAUAUAAAGUCAGAGGACUGGAUGAGUAAGAUACAUACUCAUAUGAAGUAAAAUUUGUUAUUCCAAUGUGAGUGGGAAACAUCCAAUGGCAAGAAAGGAGGACCCUGGGAGAGUGGGAGGGCAGAGGAAAGGUGAGUGCUCUUUCUCAUAUAUUCUUUCCUUCUCCUCUGCCACAGAAUUAAAAUUCCCCUUUCUUUCCAUGGGCAUGAGAACUUUGGAGUCUUUGCAUUCUGGACUCUGGGACUCCAAGAACCAGGAUCAGUGUCUCCUGGAGGCUUCAUGUCUUUAUUCUUGAACAUAAUUAUACUACUGUCUUUAUUCCUAGUUCUAAAGCUUUGGGAUUUUGAUUGAGCCAUGCUACUGUCUUCACUGGUUUUCCAGCAUAGAGGACCUUCAGUGAGACUUCUAAUCCUCUGCAAUCAUGUCUUUUUUUUUAUCCCUGUUAAGUUUCUUCUGGUAGUAUAUACACUUUCACACAGUCACACACCCUUCCUAAUGUCCUAUCAUUCAGUGUCUGACCACACAGGCAAGAACCUCUAAGAUUCCAGUGUACUUAAGGAAUUCUGGCCUCUAGUGGGACAGUGGCCUGCUUGUAAUGCUGUGGAUGAUGCAUUUUCACAUGUUUGGUAUGAGCAAACCUACUGUCCCACCACUUGGAAAUAUAGAGCAAACACUGUGUUUAAUACAUAAUACUUACCAGUGUUAACAAAUAGUUACAUCACUUACAUGAUUAUUAUCCUGUAAAUUUUUGUACAUUAUUUUAAAGGAUCAUACAUACUUGCCAAAAGAUUUCUGUAAAAUAAUGUGCAUUUUUAUACUGUGUUAUAGGCAGAUUUACUUUUAAAAUUUAUUUGUUGCAUAAAUUGACCAUUUAUUAAAGAAAGGAAAUGUGUGUACUGAUGAGUGUUCAUGUGUACGAGGAACUGUGUCUAAAAUUAUUUGAGUAUUUUGUACAGAUACUGAAUGAGUGCCAGUCAAUCUUUAUCCUUUAGUACUGGAUCCUGUGCUGGGAGAAGUCACAUCCAUGUGAUGCUUGAUUGCAUCAAUAUAUCACAUUGAGGGGCUGACCUGUGCCAUUUAGAAUUGUAUGAAUAUACUUGGUGCUGUUUGCACAAUGAUUGAACGGAAUAAUGACUCAUUUCCAGGAUUUCCCAUUACUAAUAAUACACAAUUAUAUGGUUCAUUGUUUUUGUCUCUUCAACUGCUCCAGAGUAUAUGUGUGAAACAUAGUUUAAAGCAAUCCUGUUUCUAAUUCAAAUAAAAAAAGUUGAAAAAAAUAAAUUGACUAGAGUUCAAAAAUGAAAGAUUAGUUAAAUGAGAAACACAUAUUGAUGUAUGUAAUAUAAAUUAAUUGAUAUGGUUACACAGGCUGAGUACUUUCAUCAUUGUCAUUCAGCAAGUAGAGACUUGAGUUGAUACUGAAGGCAAGAACAAAAGAGAAGAGCUAUGGACAGCAAUCUAGAAAAAACAAAUUUUCCAUUUUCCUCAAUUUUUGUUCUAGUCAUUCCUUCAAC